rnacentral:rRNA from 1 species
GACAGAGGGUGCAAACGUUGUUCGGAAUUACUGGGCGUAAAGCGUGUGUAGGUGGCUGCGAAAGUCGGAUGUGAAAGCCCUGGGCUCAACUCAGGAAGUGCACCCGAGACUGCGUAGCUCGAGUACCGGAGAGGUUGGUAGAAUUCUCGGUGUAGAGGUGAAAUUCGUAGAUAUCGAGAGGAAUACCUGUGGCGAAGGCGGCCAACUGGACGAGUACUGACACUGAGACACGAAAGCGUGGGGAGCAAACAGG